UGCACAAUCCCUAGGGACCAAGGCCAUAGCCUCUCUCCCAAAGAAGGCUACUCUGCGGAAAAUACCUGAAGCUCUGCAAUCCCGUCCCCCGGAGUCACCUAUGUGAUAAAUUCAAAGGAAGACACAACAAGCUGGCCUAAGUAAAGAAACAGCUGGAAUCCAGACAAGACUAAACAGUGUGAUAUGGGGAAAAAACGUUCAAAAUAGGUCAAGCAGCAGAGACAACGCCCAACAUCAACAACACAUUUGGCCCAGGAACUGUAAAUGAACAUACAGUGCAGUGGUGAUUCAAAAGUUUCACAAAGGAGACAAGAGCCUUGAAGAUAAGGAGUGCA